rnacentral:rRNA from 1 species
GGAGCGGCGGCGGCGCUGGUCUGGUUCCGGAAGGGCCUGCGUGUGCACGACAACCCGGCGCUCGACGCGGCCCGGCGCAGCGCCGCACGGGUCUACCCGGUGUUCGUGCUCGACCCGCGGUACCUCCGCCCGGACCCGGCUGCGCCCUCCCCGGGCUCCGCGCGCGCCGGAGUCGCGCGCGUCCGCUUCCUCCUCGAGAGCCUCCGCGACCUGGACGCCCGCCUCCGCCGCCUCGGCUCACGCCUCCUCGUCCUGCGCGCCCGCGAGGACGUCUCGGACGCCGUCUGUGCAGCCCUCAAGGACUGGAACAUCGGCAAGCUGUGCUUCGAGUCCGACACCGAGCCGUACGCCCUGGCCCGCGACAAGAGAGUCACGGAUUUUGCUGCUGCGUCGGGGAUCGAGGUGUUCUCGCCUGUCAGCCACACCCUUUUUGACCCAGCAGAAAUCAUAGAGAAGAAUGGGGGCCGGCCACCGUUGACAUACCAAUCGUUUGUGGCCACCGCUGGAGAGCCGCCCAAGCCAGUGAUGGAGGAAUACUCUGAGCUCCCGCCAAUCGGCGAUACCGGAGGAUAUGAGUUGUUGCCUGUGCCCAAACUGGAAGAGCUUGGGUAUGGUGAUCUCAGCCAGGAGUACAUUCCGCCAUUCCGCGGCGGCGAGACAGAAGCUCUGAAGAGGAUGAGAGAGUCACUCCAGGAUAAGGAGUGGGUUGCCAAGUUUGAGAAACCUAAGGGUGACCCUUCUGCCUUCUUGAAACCUGCAACAACGGUCUUGUCACCGUAUCUGAAAUUCGGUUGCCUGUCGGCGAGGUAUUUUUACCACUGCAUUCAAGAUGUCUACAGGAGUACCAAAACGCAUACAAAACCACCUGUUUCGUUGGCUGGCCAGUUGCUGUGGAGGGAUUUCUUCUACACAGUGUCUUUUGGCACUCCUAAUUUCGAUCAGAUGGAAGGGAACAAAAUAUGCAAACAGAUCCCAUGGAGAGAGAACGAGGAGCUGUUUGUUGCAUGCAGAGAUGGCCGGACAGGAUAUCCAUGGAUUGAUACCAUCAUGAUUCAGCUGAGGAAGUGGGGUUGGAUGCAUCAUCUUGCACGCCACUCUGUUGCUUGUUUCCUGACGCGGGGUGAUCUGUACGUCCACUGGGAGCAAGGCCGUGACGUCUUCGAAAGGCUACUGAUAGAUUAG